rnacentral:sRNA from 1 species
GCUGGGUUUGGUGGUGCUUGCCUGUAAUCCUAGUGACUGGGGAGGCUGAGGCAGGAGGAUUGCAAGUUCAAAGGCAGCCUCAGCAACUUAGCAAGGCUCUAAGUAACUUAAUGAGACCCUGUCUCUA